GGUGGUAUGAGAUGGACCCGCGUCGACGCAUUAGCUAGUUGGUAAGGUAACGGCUUACCAAGGCAAUGAUGCAUAGCCGAGUUGAGAGACUGAUCGGCCACAUUGGGACUGAGACACGGCCCAAACUCCUACGGGAGGCAGCAGUAGGGAAUCUUCCACAAUGGACGCAAGUCUGAUGGAGCAACGCCGCGUGAGUGAAGAAGGUUUUCGGAUCGUAAAGCUCUGUUGUUGGUGAAGAAGGAUAGAGGUAGU
rnacentral:rRNA from 1 species